UGAGACUGAACUGUCCUUUUUCGGUUAUCAUGGUACCGAUGCUGUAUGUCUGAAAGGUACAGUACUGUGAUAACUGAAGAAUGGUGGUGCCAUC
rnacentral:miRNA from 1 species